rnacentral:lncRNA from 1 species
AACCUUUAAACAACAAGUCCACUUGACGCUGACGCAAGAUAAAACUAAAGACCAUAGAGAAAAAGAAAAGGAGGGACCAUGACAACACACCAUUAAACAUAAAACCUUUCAUUUAUUCAAAGUCUUGAGGAUAGAUCAAUGACCUAUAGAUUCCUUUCACUUGCUGAAGGUUUGAGGAUAGAUCAACAACCUGUACAUUAAAAAGAAUAAAUCUUGAACCAAUAAAAUGUAAAGUAUUAAUUAUUGCCAAAGUCAUAAGAAUGUGCAUAUUAAAUUAAUUAAAAUUCAUAAAUUAAUCAAUAGAUCAACUAAAUCUCAUAAACUAACCAGUAAAAUAAUUUUUUUUUUACCAUUUAUUGAUUGAGAAAAUUUCUCAAGUGAGGGUCAAUACAUAGACCUUGUCUUUGGUAUUCUGGAUCGUACAG